UUCGCGUGCAGCCAAAAACCUUAGACAGAGAGAGGGAAAGAGAGAAAGAAAGAGAGAGAGAGAGGUUGUAAACUCAUAAAAUUGUAAACUCAUAAAUAUUCGUCAUCAUCGUCCAUAAUCCACAUUGUGUUUUGUCAGUUUCACCUCCGGUGUCCCAAGGAGGCAAUCCUUUUUGCUUUUCAAAUAUGGAUUUUAAGAAGAGGAAAAAAAGAAUUAUCGCAGUCUUAAGGACAUGUUAUUCAGUGGCUCCGUGAUCUGGGUCUAAUUUUUUUUUUUAAAUUUAAUAAAAAUAAUAAAAAAAUGAAAAAAAAAACAUUUUAAUAUUAAUUAUAAAAAGAAUUAAUAAAUAAAACCUUAAAAAAACACUA